rnacentral:tRNA from 1 species
GCCUGGUUGCAUAGUGGUUAAGUGUUUGGCUGCUAACUAAAUGUCAACAGUUUGAAUCUACCAGGCG